rnacentral:lncRNA from 1 species
GGGCAGGAAGGGAGAAAGAUCAGGAAUCAGGGUAUUGAAUUGGAGAUGAGGAGAUCAGGAUUUAAGUAUAAAACUAGAAGAGAUGAAAACGACAGAAGAUAUGGGGUAUAAGUUUAUUCUUGUGCACAAACCAAGGUAUGUGACUCACACUCAAUAUGCAAAGGAAAUGAACAAUGUCCAGAUCAAGCAGUAAAUGUGAUGGGCGAUGACAAACUGCAAAAGACAGAGGGACAGACUCAAAGGAAGCAGCACAGAUACCACCUGUUUUUCCAACAGAGCACACACUCUCACAUCCUGCCACCAUCAUCCCCCUUCACUCUAACAUUCUUUUCCCUCAAAUUUUCCCCAAUACCCCUUUCUGUAGAUGGUUGGUUUCUUAUUACUCAAUUUUACUCUCUGCCAACACUACACUCUCCCUCACCACGCUCCUCUCCGUGCUCAAUCAGUUUCAUUCAUAUCUGUUCUGCUCCUGGUUUCUAGCUCACUUUCCACAUAAUGGCUCUUUUCUCCUUCCUUUCUAUCUUAGGUUCAUGAAGCAACAAAGCCAAUAAUUUGUCAUUCUCCAAGGACAUUUUCUUUUUCUUUUCAUUUCCUGGAUGUUUGGUUGCUCAGCAUGGGCCUCUCAAGUUACUAACUUUCUGAAAUCCUGAGAAAUAGAGUUCUUAGUUCUAUUCCUGGUCCAGCUGGUAUAACUCAACCCAUAUAAACUGCCCCGGCCCUUUGAGUCUCCUCAUACUCUGUGAGUUUCACAAGAUGCUCUACACCUGCUACAGAUGAUGAUCUUUAGUGAGUUUCUCCCGCCAGACAAUCCAUGUGGGGAUGGCUGACACUUCUUUCAUCAGUUCAACGGUAAGACUCAGACUGGGUCUUUAUCUAGAACUCUCCCCUUACUCUUGCCUCAGACAAAAGAGCACAUCUGUACACACACACACACACACACCCCUAGGAAUAUGCCAGCCAAGCUUAGGAAAGAAGAGUCAGGAGCAGCAAGCAUCUCAGUGCAAACAGGGGCCAGUCCAGUCCCUUUGAUGCCCAUCCGGUGGUGACGUCUUUGCCCAAAGUCUCAGUGAUAACUUCUCUGUGUCUUUCCCACUGAAUGUCGAAACAAAGCCCACAGAGAAAGCACAAAUGUAGAGAUAUAGAGGCCAGUGGAGGAGAGUAGGUGAAGAGACCUAGAGUUAAGACAGAGAUCCAGGCAAGGAACUACAGAGACAAAAAGAAGCACAGACACCAAAACAGAGCUGGCAGGUCUGAAAGCAGCAGGAAGGUUGAAAGCCAGGAGGAAGCUAGGGCAUGGGACACCUACUCCAAAACUAUCACUGGCAGGAGGGAAUUUAGCCUCCACAUGCCUGGGGCGGGCCGCAGGGGCGGGGGUGUUAGUAAGAGAAGCAACUUUAGGAACU